rnacentral:hammerhead_ribozyme from 1 species
AUCCAGCUGACGAGUGCCAAAUAGGACGAAACGCG